GAGUCUGCCUGCCAGCCUGCUGCGUAACACCUCACCUGAUUGGCCGAAGGACGCGUGCCCUCCACGUGAACAGAGACUGGAUUGGUGUGCCUGAUGCAUGGACUCUAGCUUGCUUCUGAUUGGUCACAUUUUGUAUAUAAGCCACGGGUGUAAGGAGGAAGCUCUCUCUCUCUCUCCUUUCCUCCUUCCUUUCUACCUCUGUCACGUCUACUUUCUCUAAUAAAAAGUCUACUGAAGACCGCACCUCUCAUUCACAAAAUCCAACUAGAAGCCACAUGACCAGAGAGGUGGUCUGCUAAUGGAGUCUACAUAGGUCAUUCACCCAAAGCAUGGACUGGAAACAAAAAAAGUGUGGAGAACAGAUCUGGAGCACCAAACGUCAUCAUUGGGUUUAAAAGAAAAAGAAGAAAGGAAGAAGGAGGAAGGCUGGGGAGUGCCAUUAUGCUCUUAAAACGGUAUAUAUCAAAUUUGUUCCAUAUAUAUAUACCUACACACAAGUAUUAUGUUUUAUAUAUGUAUGUAUAUAAAUUAUAAAUAUGCAUGCAUAUAUGUAUAUAUAAGUUUUGCAUAAAUAAAAAGAGAAUAAUAAAGAGAAUAAUCAGUCAGAUUUUUAUUUUUCACAUAAAAUGGAUAACAUGGCAACUUCCAAAUAACAUUUGAUAUAAAUCUCAUGAAAAGAGGUAGAAACCCAAUUAUCACAUUUAUAAACCACAAAAAGAGCACUACUUGAUAUUUGUAAAGGCUUUGUUGACUUUGGAAUUUAGUUUUCCUGACACUAACCUAUACAUAAAAUUGUUAUAUUUGUAUAUGUGUGCUUUGUUGAGUUGAUUUUUAUAAUUUUGUCACAUUGUAUACCAAACCAUUGGGAAACACAUUGACUUGUUAGAUCAUCCCAUUUUUCUCACCAUUAUUAUGUACAAAGUACACAGAUUCUCAUCUAAUGGAAUCUCUUUUCAAUCUUUAAUUAUGUUAUUUUAGAGCUUAUGGACUUAGGAUAAUGCUUACACACUCGUUAAAUUUUUAAAUCGAAUCUAUAAAAAGUUAAUAACAUGAGCCUAAACAAUAUUUAAUGUGGAAGUUCAGAAAUGUGUGAAUAAGAGUACCUUAAUACAAUUCAUAGGGAAAAGUGAAAGAUAUGUGUAUUUUCAUGCAAAAAAAUUUAAGUACACAAAGAUUUUUUUCAUAAUAUGCAUUUUCCACAUACUUUUUGAAUCACCCUCACAUACCUGCUGAAUUGGUGAAGGCAGAUUUUGCCAGGACUCCAUUUGUAUAAAAAUAGACACAAAAUUUAUCAUGCAAGAAAAUCCUAGUUGUUGCAAUAUGGAAGCAUUUGGAAUGUAACAUGCUAUCUACCAUGAAGAUUACUUCUUUCCCACCUCUGGUUUUUUGAAUUUACCAGAGAGAAAGAACUGCAAGUGAAAGAGGAAAAAAAACAGACAUUUUCCUAAAUCAUAUGAAAACACAAAGUGACACAGUGUACUGUUUUGGUUAACAAAGGGAAAAGGAGAGGGAGAAGAAGAGAGAAAAAGAGAAAAAGAGGAAAAGAGGGAGAGAACAUUUCAAGUGAAAAUUAGUGUUGCAAGUCAUUCAACAUACAAAAUUCAGUGAUUUUUUUUUUUACUAUAUGUGCAAGCUUCUGCAUUGAUCACCAUUAUCUAAUUAUGGAAUACUUUUAUCAUCUAUGAAAAGAAGCCCCACAACCAUUAGCAUUCAAUACUCAACACUCAUCUUCCCAGGCCCCAGCAAUGAUAGUUUCUCUGUAUGGAUUUUUCUCUUCCACACAUUACAAAUAUGAGAUCACAUACCAUAUAUCCUUUUUAUGUGUUUUCUUUUACUCAACAUAAUGUAUUAAAGAUCGUCCAUGUAUCAGACCUUUCUUCCCUUUUAUUGUUGAUUCACAUUCAGUUAUGCACAUAGAUUUAGUUUAUCCACCCAGCAGUUGGGUGUAUAUUUACAUUGUAUUUCCCUUUUUUCACUAUUAUGAACAAUACUACUCUGUACUCUAUAUUUUCAGUUCUUUAGAUUGUAUAUCUAGAAGAAGGAUUGUUGAGUUACAUGGUAUAUUCAGGUUUUCGCUUUAGAAGAGCUGUUGGACUUUCCAACAUAAUACAUAUUUUAUAUUCCCAUAAGCAAUUUAAAAAUUAUAUAGGUAUUCACCAAAAGAUUGUCUGUCUUUUUGAUUAUUGUAAACCUAUUGAAUAUAAAUUAAUAUCUCACUAUACUUUUGAUUUACAUUUUCAUAAUCACUGUUGAUUUUGUCGCUCCCCUUCUUCGUGGAGGAACGACACUAAGCCCUGCCUAGGCUUCAUAUCCGAGUCACGGCACCAUUAUGUCGCUCCCCCUCUUCGUGGAGGAACGACACAGGACCCUGCGCUGUUCUUUCGUCUGCUCGGCCCUCCCCGGGUUUGCUGCUGGUUCUUCCCGGGUUGGCUACUAUCCCUUCCACCUCCGUGGAAGGGCAGUUCCCCCUAGCCACAUUCCCCACUUCCGCAGGGGAGCGGCACACCGCCGGCCGGCUCUUCUCGGGGGCUGCACAGGUGUUCCCCUUAGAUGUUCCCCUUAGAUGUUCCUGGUGCAUGCCGUCUCUCUCCUCCUUUAUAGUCCUCCUCUGCCACUCCCAACUCGGCUGCCCACAC